CCGUAGGGUAAGGGGGCGAACGUAGGGAACUGAAACAUCUAAGUACCUAUAGGAAAAGAAAUCAACCGAGAUUCCCUUAGUAGCGGCGAGCGAACGGGGAAGAGCCUGGCAUAAUUUAGCAAAAAUCAUAGUAGAACAACCUGGGAAGGUUGGCCAUAGACGGUGAUAGCCCGGUAUGCGAAAUGAUUCUUGUGGAACUAGAUAUGCGAAUAAGUAGAGCGGAACACGUGAAAUUCUGUUUGAAGAUGGGGGGACCAUCCUCCAAGGCUAAAUACUACUAACUGACCGAUAGUGAACCAGUACCGUGAGGGAAAGGCGAAAAGAACCCCUAUAAGGGGAGUGAAAUAGAACCUGAAACCGUGUGCAUACAAGCAGUGGGAGCAUUUUUUAGAGAUGUGACUGCGUACCUUUUGUAUAAUGGGUCAGCGAGUUACUUUCAGUGGCAAGGCUAAGGAUAACGGAGCCGUAGGGAAACCGAGUCUUAAUAGGGCGACUAGUCUCUGGGAGUAGACCCGAAACCGGCGCGAUCUAUCCAUGGCCAGGUUGAAGGUUGGGUAACACCAACUGGAGGACCGAACCCAAUAAUGUUGCAAAAUUAUGGGAUGAGCUGUGGAUCGGAGUGAAAGGCUAAUCAAGCACGGAGAUAGCUGGUUCUCCCCGAAAUCUAUUUAGGUAGAGCCUUAUAUAUAACUCGUUGGGGUAAAGCACUGUUUCGGCUAGGGGGUCAUCUCGACUUACUGAACCGAUGCAAACUUAGAAUACGACGAAGUUUUAGUAUAGGAGACACACUGCGGGUGCUAAGGUCCGUAGUGGAGAGGGAAACAGCCCAGACCGUCAGCUAAGGUCCCAAAGUUAUUGCUAAGUGGGAAACGAUGUGGGAAGGCAUAGACAGCUAGGAGGUUGGCUUAGAAGCAGCCAUCCUUUGAAGAAAGCGUAAUAGCUCACUAGUCGAGUCGGCCUGCGCGGAAGAUUUAACGGGGCUAAGCAAUACACCGAAGCUACGGAAUAUAUUUUAUAUAUUGGUAGGGGAGCGUUCUGUAAGCUGAUGAAGGUGAAUUGAGAAGUUUGCUGGAGGUAUCAGAAGUGCGAAUGCUGACAUGAGUAACGUAAAAUAAGUGAGAUUCUUAUUGGCCGAAUAUCCAAGGGUUCCUACGCAAUGUUAAUCAACGUAGGGUGAGUCGGUGCCUAAGGCGUAGCCGAAGGGUGAAGUCGAUGGAAAACAGGUUAAUAUUCCUGUACUCCUUGUAACUGCGAUGUAGUGACGGAGAAAGCUAAAUCAGCCUGGCGUAUGGUUGUCCAGGUGAAAGCGUGUAGGUAGUGUGUGUAGGUAAAUCCGCAUGCAUGUUGAUCUGAGGCGUGAUGACGAGGUUUCUUAUAUGAAACUGAAGUGAUUGAUGCUCUGCUUCCAGGAAAAACUACUAAGCUUCAGGUUACAAGAAGCCGUACCCCAAACCAACACUGGUGGAUAGGUAGAGAAUACUAAGGCAAUGAGAGAACUCAGGUGAAGGAACUAGGCAAAAUAGCACCGUAACUUCGGGAGAAGGUGUGCCCUAAGUAUGUGAAGAGAUUUACUCUUGGAGCAAAAAAGGGUUGCAAUAAAAUGGUGGCUGCGACUGUUUACUAAAAACACAGCACUCUGCAAACUCGUAAGAGGAAGUAUAGGGUGUGACGCCUGCCCGGUGCCGGAAGGUUAAUUGAAGGGGUUAGCUUAGGCGAAGCUCUGGAUCGAAGCCCCGGUAAACGGCGGCCGUAACUAUAACGGUCCUAAGGUAGCGAAAUUCCUUGUCGGGUAAGUUCCGACCUGCACGAAUGGCGUAACGAUGGCCACACUGUCUCCACCUGAGACUCAGUGAAAUUGAAAUCGCAGUGAAGAUGCUGCGUACCCGCGGUUAGACGGAAAGACCCCGUGAACCUUUACUAUAGCUUUGCACUGGACUUUGACACUAUCUGUGUAGGAUAGGUGGGAGACUAUGAAACUUGAGCGCUAGCUUGAGUGGAGUCAACCUUGAAAUACCACCCUGGUAUUGUUGGAGUUCUAACUUAGGAAGCAAUUCCAAGGACAGUGCAUGGUGGGUAGUUUGACUGGGGCGGUCUCCUCCCAAAGAGUAACGGAGGAGCACGAAGGUACCCUCGGUACGGUCGGAAAUCGUACCAAGAGUGUAAAGGCAUAAGGGUGCUUGACUGCGAGAGUGACGGCUCGAGCAGGAACGAAAG
rnacentral:rRNA from 1 species